AAGGGAGAGGAUAAGGUAGAAAUCUACCCUCGGGACGGGGAUAGCUGCGGGAAACUGCUGGUAAUACCCGAUAAUAUCUUUGGAUCAAAGGUGUGAUUCCGCCUGGGGAUGAGUCUACUUCCUAUUAGCUAGUUGGCAGGGUAAUGGCCUACCAAGGCAACGAUGGGUAGCGGGUGUGAGAGCAUGACCCGCCUCACUGGGACUGAGAACUGCCCAGACACCUACGGGUGGCUGCAGUCGAGAAUCUUCGGCAAUGGGCGCAAGCCUGACCGAGCGACGCCGCGUGCGGGAUGAAGGCCCUCGGGUUGUAAACCGCUGUCGUAGGGGAACAAAUGUAGUGGGGUUCUCCCCAUUACUUGAGUGAUCCUGGGAGGAAGGGGAGGCUAAGCUCGUGCCAGCAGCCGCGGUAAGACGAGCUCCCCGAACGUUAUUCGGUAUUACUGGGCUUAAAGAGUUCGUAGGCGGCCCGACAGGUGAGGUGUGAAAUCCCUCGGCUCAACCGAGGAACUGCGCUUCAAACCGUCAGGCUUGAGGGAGAUAGAGGUGAGCGGAACAGAUGGUGGAGCGGUGAAAUGCGUUGA
rnacentral:rRNA from 1 species